GAUGAACGCUGCCGCCUGGCCUAAACCAGCCAAUUGGACCUAACGAAGUAAAACCUUGCUCCUUGGUUGUUGACGGCGACCGGUGAGUUAACACGUGGAAACCUACCCAUUAGUCCGGGGAUACUUCGGGUAAACGGGGCCUAAUACGGAUUCUCAUUUUGAACCCCUGGUUCCAAAAGGAAAGAAGGGUCUGCUGUUCUUUAAUAGUGGUUUCGCCCUGCAUUAGCUAGUUGGUAAGGUAACGGCCUACCAAGGGAACGAUGCAUAGGCGACCUGAGAGGGUGAUCGGCCACACUGGAACUGAGACACGGUCCAGACUCCUACGGGAGGCAGCAGUAGGGAAUCUUCCGCAAUGGGCGAAAGCCUGACGGAGCAACGCCGCGUGAGUGAUGAAGGUCUUCGGAUCGUAAAACUCUGUUAUUAGGGAAGAACAUAUGUGUAAGUAACUGUGCACAUCUUGACGGUACCUAAUCAGAAAGCCACGGCUAACUACGUG
rnacentral:rRNA from 1 species